AACAAACGCUGGCGGCGUGCCUAAUACAUGCAAGUCGAACGGGGAAAGCUUUCGGGUGAGUACUAGUGGCGCACGGGUGAGUAACGCGUGGAUAAUCUGCCUUGAAGAGGGGGAUAACCAGUCGAAAGAUUGGCUAAUACCGCAUAAGACCACAGGGACUGAGGUUCUAGGGGUCAAAGGUUUUUCGCUUCAAGAUGAGUCCGCGUAAGAUUAGCUAGUUGGUAGGGUAAUGGCCUACCAAGGCAACGAUCUUUAACUGGUCUGAGAGGAUGAUCAGUCACACUGGAACUGAGACACGGUCCAGACUCCUACGGGAGGCAGCAGUAGGGAAUAUUGCACAAUGGAGGAAACUCUGAUGCAGCGACGCCGCGUGAGUGAUGAAGGCCUUCGGGUCGUAAAGCUCUGUCGCAGGGGAAUAAGACAGUGAAUGUACCCUGUAAGAAAGGAUCGGCUAACUUCGUG
rnacentral:rRNA from 1 species